rnacentral:rRNA from 1 species
GAUCAUGGCUCAGGAUGAACGCUGGCGGCGUGCUUAACACAUGCAAGUCGAACGAAGCACUUUAUUAUGAUUUCUUCGGAAUGACGAUUUAGUGACUGAGUGGCGGACGGGUGAGUAACGCGUGGGUAACCUGCCUUAUACAGGGGGAUAACAGUUAGAAAUGACUGCUAAUACCGCAUAAGCGCACGGGAUUGCAUGAUCUGGUGUGAAAAACUCCGGUGGUAUAAGAUGGACCCGCG